GUAAUGUCUGGGAAACUGCCUGAUGGAGGGGGAUAACUACUGGAAACGGUGGCUAAUACCGCAUAACGUCGCAAGACCAAAGAGGGGGACCUUCGGGCCUCUUGCCAUCAGAUGUGCCCAGAUGGGAUUAGCUAGUUGGUGAGGUAACGGCUCACCAAGGCGACGAUCCCUAGCUGGUCUGAGAGGAUGACCAGCCACACUGGAACUGAGACACGGUCCAGACUCCUACGGGAGGCAGCAGUGGGGAAUAUUGCACAAUGGGCGCAAGCCUGAUGCAGCCAUGCCGCGUGUAUGAAGAAGGCCUUCGGGUUGUAAAGUACUUUCAGCGGGGAGGAAGGUGUUGUGGUUAAUAACCGCAGCAAUUGACGUUACCCGCAGAAGAAGCACCGGCUAACUCCGUGCCAGCAGCCGCGGUAAUACGGAGGGUGCAAGCGUUAAUCGGAAUUACUGGGCGUAAAGCGCACGCAGGCGGUCUGUCAAGUCGGAUGUGAAAUCCCCGGGCUCAACCUGGGAACUGCAUUCGAAACUGGCAGGCUUGAGUCUUGUAGAGGGGGGUAGAAUUCCAGGUGUAGCGGUGAAAUGCGUAGAGAUCUGGAGGAAUACCGGUGGCGAAGGCGGCCCCCUGGACAAAGACUGACGCUCAGGUGCGAAAGCGUGGGGAGCAAACAGGAUUAGAUACCCUGGUAGUCCACGCCGUAAACGAUGUCUACUUGGAGGUUGUGCCCUUGAGGCGUGGCUUCCGGAGCUAACGCGUUAAGUAGACCGCCUGGGGAGUACGGCCGCAAGGUUAAAACUCAAAUGAAUUGACGGGGGCCCGCACAAGCGGUGGAGCAUGUGGUUUAAUUCGAUGCAACGCGAAGAACCUUACCUGGUCUUGACAUCCACAGAACUUUCCAGAGAUGGACUGGUGCCUUCGGGAACUGUGAGACAGGUGCUGCAUGGCUGUCGUCAGCUCGUGUUGUGAAAUGUUGGGUUAAGUCCCGCAACGAGCGCAACCCUUAUCCUUUGUUGCCAGCGGUUAGGCCGG
rnacentral:rRNA from 1 species